rnacentral:rRNA from 1 species
CCUACGGGGGGCAGCAGUGGGGAAUAUUGCACAAUGGGGGAAACCCUGAUGCAGCGACGCCGCGUGAGUGAAGAAGUAUUUCGGUAUGUAAAGCUCUAUCAGCAGGGAAGAAAAUGACGGUACCUGAUUAAGAAGCCCCGGCUAACUACGUGCCAGCAGCCGCGGUAAUAAGUAGGGGGCAAGCGUUAUCCGGAUUUACUGGGUGUAAAGGGGGCGUAGGCGGGAGGACAAGUCUGGAGUGAAAUGCCGGGGCUUAACCCCGGAACUGCUUUGGAAACUGUGCAGCUAGAGUGCAGGAGAGGUAGGUGGAAUUCGUAGUGUAGCGGUGAAAUGCGUAGAUAUUAGGAAGAACACCGGUGGCGAAGGCAGCUUACUGGACUGUAACUGACGUUGAGGCUCGAAAGCGUGGGGAGCAAACAGGAUUAGAUACCCCUGUAGUC